UUCAAGAGCCAAGCGAUCCUUAUAGGACUACAUGCAAAGCAAUGUACUCCAGACCGCACAACUGGACAUACAGAUUGUGCCCUGAUGCCAUCUGCCCCGUUCUCCCAGCCUCAUCUUCCCUCUCUAUGCCUAGCUUCACAUCGGUUGGCUCUUCUUUGGCUCUCUUCAUCCCGUCUGCCUGCCUCGCUGCUCUCCCUGAUAACAUUUCCUGACUGAUGCCUUGCACUCUGACUCUUUCUGCAAGGUGCCAUUCUGAGCAGUGACUCAAUUUAGUGCCACCCUGCUGCUUGGCAUUGCACUUCUGAGGUCAUCACCAUCUUUCUUCAGCCAACCAAAAUGAUUCUCACCAACCACCCCAGCUCUGCUAACCUUGAUGUUGGAGAUCUGCUGUUUUUGAAGCAGGGGACCACUGUCCAUUAAAGGCUUCAUGAACCAUUUAACAAAAUCACAUAAGAUAGGGUAGUUCAUACUCCAUGCGAUGUGCCAUACAAUGGAAGGGCCAUGUUCCUUAUCACAUCUGGAUACUGCAAAGCUCCUGUCUCCUCAACAAUUUACGAACUAAUCAAUUAUUAAAUGAAGAAAUGCUAUGUAAAAGCAAAGAUAUUUCUUCCUGUGGAAUUUGAGUCUUAAAUUUAGUAAUUACUGUUUUAUGGCAUAAAUAAAAGUUAAAUAUUAUAUUA